rnacentral:rRNA from 1 species
GACGAACGCGGCGGCGUGCUUAACACAUGCAAGUCGAACGAAGAGCGAUGGAAGCUUGCUUCUAUCAAUCUUAGUGGCGAACGGGUGAGUAACGCGUAAUCAACCUGCCCUUCAGAGGGGGACAACAGUUGGAAACGACUGCUAAUACCGCAUACGAUCUAAUCUCGGCAUCGAGGAUAGAUGAAAGGUGGCCUCUACAUGUAAGCUAUCACUGAAGGAGGGGAUUGCGUCUGAUUAGCUAGUUGGAGGGGUAACGGCCCACCAAGGCGAUGAUCAGUAGCCGGUCUGAGAGGAUGAACGGCCACAUUGGGACUGAGACACGGCCCAGACUCCUACGGGAGGCAGCAGUGGGGAAUCUUCCGCAAUGGACGAAAGUCUGACGGAGCAACGCCGCGUGAGCGAUGACGGCCUUCGGGUUGUAAAGCUCUGUUAAUCGGGGACGAAAAGG